UGAAGAUAUCAGGUUGCAUUUAAACAGGUGGACAACAAACUGCUGGCAUGCAUCUACAUACUAACCUAUCUGUGUUCAGUUGGGUGAAGACGCUCUGUGCCACCGUGUGAGGAUUCGUGGAUGACUUGUGGUUGUUUCUUCAUCAGAAAGUGUCGUGAAGCAACAGUAGCUGUGUAAUUCAGGGCCACACGGACUCGAGCCGGUCAUAACAAAACCUG